UUUUCGGAAAAUAAUUGGACGUACGAUACUGCGGAAAAUUAUGCAUUUUGGGGACGGAUUUUGUGGCUUAUAAGUGUGGUGUCAGCUCCGCGCUAGUGAUCCUUGAUGAUGCAGUGGCAUCAAGAGGUGGAGACGGCGUCGUAAAAAUGUAAAUUUUUUGUGUUUAUAAUCGCGAUAGCUGCCGAUUUUGUUUUUCUUUUGCGGAGACCGCCUCUUCUUGUUUGUUGCAUUGGAUUACCAGUUGGCUGUAGUCAAGGAGGUUUUAGCGUCAACUAAUGUAGGCGCUCGUCGUUCUGGAUCAGCCCGUCUAUUGCAGCGCAGCAUGCAUGUAGAUUGCAUCGGUGAUAAGGGAUACUAAUCAGGACCGUGUGGCAAGAUAGUUCAGGACUUGUUUGUAUUUUUCCGUAUCUUUCAUCAGUAUCAGCUGGAGUGCGUUUUCGUAAGCUUGAUUAUCCGGAUGCUUUGAGGUGUGAGUAUUGAUUCUAUUGUUUAUAUUUUAAUGCCAUUAUCUAAUUGAGUUUGUAUUCUAAGAAAAUUAGGCUGCGUCGAGGAAGGAGAUGACCGUGCAGGAGUUUGGGAGCAGAUUGACGUGCGCUUUUCCAUCGGAUAUAGAUGUCGUUAGAAUAAGUAUAAGUAGAUGUAGGAUUAAUUGGAAGUUUCCAUGUCAAGAUUGUUAACUCUUCCUUGUAUGAUUAAGGCCAAUAAACUGUCAAUUUUCUUUUCUAAA